rnacentral:rRNA from 1 species
GAUGAACGCUGGCGGCGUGCCUAAUACAUGCAAGUCGAGCGAACGGACGAGAAGCUUGCUUUUCUGAUGUUAGCGGCGGACGGGUGAGUAACACGUGGAUAACCUACCUAUAAGACUGGGAUAACUUCGGGAAACCGGAGCUAAUACCGGAUAAUAUUUUGAACCGCAUGGUUCAAAAGUGAAAGACGGUCUUGCUGUCCCUUAUAGAUGGAUCCGCGCUGCAUUAGCUAGUUGGUAAGGUAACGGCUUACCAAGGCAACGAUGCAUAGCCGACCUGAGAGGGUGAACGGGCACACUGGAACUGAGACACGGUCCAGACUCCUACGAGAGGGAGCAGUAGGGAAUCUUCCGCCAUGGGCGAAAGCCUGACGGAGCAACGCCGCGUGAAUGAUGAAGGUCUUCGGAUCGUAAAACUCUGUUAUUAGGGAAGAACAUAUGUGUAAGUAACUGUGCACAUCUUGACGGUACCUAAUCAGAAAGCCACGGCUAACUACGUG